UCACCUGUUUUACAAUCGUAUUUGCAUUUAAGUUUUAACUGAAAAUUGUUUUUAAAUAUUUUGUAUUAAGAAUAAAGUUGUUCAGAUAGUUAUUGUUUGAUUGUUUCCGUUACUGACUUAUUCAGUAUUUUCCAAAUACUAGUAAUCAUAUAAAGAUUUUCGUUCUAAUUAUGAUUGCAAUACAGCAGACAAUGAAAGCCAUGGUGAGACAUGAAUUCACGAUUCUAUCAGUUUGGAAAAUAUAAACAUCCUAUGAUGAAAAUGGACUAGAAGA